rnacentral:misc_RNA from 1 species
GUAGGUGAACCUGCGGAAGGAUCAUUAUAAAUGAUGGUUGAUUGGUGGAGGUUGGUAAGACGACUGACACUGAUUGAUUUUAUACCUGUGAAUAUACCUAUGUCUGGUCGAUGCGUUAGUCUUUUGUUACUGCAUGCAGCACAUUGACUCGACGUCCGACCAGUAUUAUUCUUCGAAUCCUGUCUGACUACAAAGUUAACAAAUAAAAACUUUCAACAAUGGAUCCCUUGGCUCUG